rnacentral:rRNA from 1 species
CAGCAGCCACGGGAAUACAGAGGGUGCAAGCGUUAAUCGGAAUUACUGGGCGUAAAGCGCGCGUAGGUGGUUUGUUAAGUUGGAUGUGAAAGCCCCGGGCUCAACCUGGGAACUGCAUCCAAAACUGGCAAGCUAGAGUACGGUAGAGGGUGGUGGAAUUUCCUGUGUAGCGGUGAAAUGCGUAGAUAUAGGAAGGAACACCAGUGGCGAAGGCGACCACCUGGACUGAUACUGACACUGAGGUGCGAAAGCGUGGGGAGCAAACAGGAUUAGAUACCCGUGUAGUCCCUGUCUCUUAUAU